AUUGAACGCUGGCGGCAUGCCUUACACAUGCAAGUCGAACGGUAACAGGUCUUCGGAUGCUGACGAGUGGCGAACGGGUGAGUAAUACAUCGGAACGUGCCCGAUCGUGGGGGUUAACGCAGCGAAAGCUGUGCUAAUACCGCAUACGAUCUACGGAUGAAAGCGGGGGAUCGCAAGACCUCGCGCGGACGGAGCGGCCGAUGGCAGAUUAGGUAGUUGGUGGGAUAAAAGCUUACCAAGCCGACGAUCUGUAGCUGGUCUGAGAGGACGACCAGCCACACGGGGACUGAGACAGGGCCCAGCCUCCAAGGGGGGGCAGCGGGGGGGAAUUUUGAAAAAGGGGGGAAAGCCUGACCCAGCCAGGCCGGGGGGAGGAGAAGGGCCUUCGGUUUGUAAACUGUUUUUGUAGGGAAGAAAAAAGCUCUCUCAAAACCGGGGGGUGAUUGAGGGUACCGAAAAAAAAGGCCCCGCCUAAUUACGG
rnacentral:rRNA from 1 species